rnacentral:lncRNA from 1 species
AUUCGUGGAGACAGAGGAGUCUUGGACCAUGUGCGCAACUGGAGCGUAGGAGUGUGCACUCGUCUUCUCGGAAAGGAAGGGCUGGAAAUAACCCUGACAGUGUUAGGCUUGGUGGCGAUCAGGGACAGAUGACUCUUACCGGUAGCCGUUUGCCCAAAUGCUUCUGCCCUUUGGAAGAGUCUUUGUGGCAGUGUGAGUUGUCUCCAGUAAGGGACCCUGGAGGGAGUGGCUCAUCCUAGCUAUAAAGAGUGUGUUAUUUUUAUCUUUUUUUUUUAAAGAAUCACUUUUUCUAAGUAUGUCGGAGUGAUUGAGCAGAGAGAAAAAUGAAUACCCUAAGCGAACUAGAAAUCUGGAAAGAACCGAAAUAGAGGCAGUGUCUCAUGACACUUUACUUGAGGACUCACCUGAUGAACUGCUGAUCAACUCUAUAGAUUCCUUCACCUAACCAGAACUGACUUCAUCAGAGAGUUAUGAUGGUUAACUCUAUCAGUCUUCUACCUGAAUGCCCCAAGAUAUUGAUGAAGUCAACAAAAACAUUGAGCCUCAGAACACAAGAAAUCUUGGACAAACUGGGAGACAGCUUGUCAGUAUCUAAGGGAAUGCAUCUGGAAAAGAGACUACCAGCAGAAGAGCAUAAAGGGGCGUGGAAGCCUAAACUGAACGAAGACCAAAGUGUGGACACUUUGCCCCUUCUUAGAAUUUGAAACAAUCACCCAUGGAAGGAGUUACAGAGACAAAGUUUGGAGCUGAGACAAAAGGAUGGACCAUCUAGAGACUGCCAUAUCCAGGGAUCCAUCCCAUAAUUAGCCUCCAAACGCUGACACCAUUGCAUACACUAGCAAGAUUUUGCUGAAAGGACCCAGAUGUAGCUCUCUCUUGUGAGAUUAUGCCGGGGCCUAGCAAAGACAGAAGUGGAUGCUAACAGUCAACUAUUGGAUGGAUCACAGGACCCCCAAGGGAGGAGCUAGAGAAAGUAUCCAAGGAGCUAAAGGGACCUGCAACCCUAUAGGCGGAACAACAUUAUGAACUAACCAGUACCCCGGAGCUCGUGUCUCCAGCUGCAUAUGUUUCAAAAGAUGGCCUAGUCGGCCAUCACUGGAAAGAGAGGCCCAUUGGACAGGCAAACUUUAUAUGCCCCAGUACAGGGGAACACCAGGGCCAAAAAAUGGGAAUGUGUGGGUAGGGGAGUGGGGGGUGGUGAGGGUGUGGGGGACUUUUGGGACAGCAUUGGAAAUGUAAUUGAGGAAAAUAUGUAAUAAAAAAAUAGAAAAAAAUAAAAAAUAAAAUUUGAAAUGUA